rnacentral:rRNA from 1 species
AGAGUUUGAUCAUGGCUCAGGAUCAACGCUGGCGGCGUGCCUAAUGCAUGCAAGUCGCACGCUGUUCCUUCGGGAAUAGAGUGGCGAACGGCUGAGGAACACGUGGGGACCUACCCUUCAGUGGGGGACAACACCGCGAAAGCGGUGCUAAUCCCGCAUACGCUCCGAGGAGGAAAGCGUGGCAACACGCGCUGAAGACUGGCCCUGCGGCCCAUCAGGUAGUUGGCGGGGUAACGGCCCACCAAGCCGACGACGCGUAGCUGGUCUGAGAGGACGACCAGCCACAUCGGGACUGAGACACUGCCCGGACUCCUACGGGGGGCUGCAGUAACGAAUCUUCCGCAAUGCACGAAAGUGUGACGGAGCGACGCCGCGUGGGGGACGAAGUCCUUCGGGAUGUAAACCCCUGUCAGGAGGUACCAAGUUCUGAGGACCUCCAGAGGAAGGCACGGCUAACUCUGUGCCAGCAGCCGCGGUAAGACAGAGGUGCCGAGCGUUAGGCGGAAUCACUGGGCUUAAAGCGUGUGUAGGCGGACCCGUAAGUGUCUUGUGAAAUCCCACCGCUCAACGGUGGAACGGCUGGGCAUACUGCGGGUCUUGAGCGACCCAGGGGCGAGCGGAACAAGCGGUGGAGCGGUGAAAUGCGUAGAUAUCGCUUGGAACGCCGGCGGUGAAAACGGCUCGCUGGGGGUCCUGCUGACGCUGAGACACGAAAGCCAGGGGAGCGAACGGGAUUAGAUACCCCAGUAGUCC